rnacentral:rRNA from 1 species
CUACGGGGUGCACCAGUGAGGAAUAUUGCACAAUGGGGGGAACCCUGAUGCAGCAACGCCGCGUGGAGGAUGACGCAUUUCGGCGUGUAAACUCCUUUUAUAUGUCAAGAAAAUGACGGUAGCAUAUGAAUAAGCACCGGCUAACUCCGUGCCAGCAGCCGCGGUAAUACGGAGGGUGCAAGCGUUACUCGGAAUCACUGGGCGUAAAGGACGCGUAGGCGGGUUGGAAAGUCAGGUGUGAAAUCCUACAGCUUAACUGUAGAACUGCACUUGAAACUUCUAAUCUAGAGUAUGGGAGGGGGAGAUGGAAUUAGUGGUGUAGGGGUAAAAUCCGUAGAUAUCACUAGGAAUACCUAAAGCGAAGGCGAUCUCCUGGAACAUUACUGACGUUAAGGCGUGAAAGCGUGGGGAGCAAACAGGAUUAGAUACCCUAGUAGUC